rnacentral:piRNA from 1 species
UAAAUUGCAGACUGCGGCAAGCUUUC